CCGAGCGCUGGUUUCUCUCUGGUGGGAGAUGGUCUUGGUAGAUGUUGCCCUGGACCCAGGAGGUUCUGUUGACGCUCAUGCUGCUGCCAGAAAGGAAGAGAACAGCCGGGGAUAUGUUCAAGCCUCCGAAGACAUGACUUUGGUUUGUGGAGAGAAACAGGUGUUAAAACGUGUAAACCCGGGCUAGGAAUGUAGCUCAGCGGCACAGCGCCUGCCUGGCAAGAGAGAGGCCCUGAGUUCAAUUCCCAGUAGCAAAAAAAAAAGAGGAAAGAGAAGAGGGCCGGGGAUUUACCUCAGUGGUGCCUCCGCCGCCUGCCUCCCAAGCACAGGUUCGUGAGUUCGAUCCCCGGUAUAAAAACAAACAAAAAACCCGUGUAAACCCUGUGCGCCCUUGGGAAUUUAAAAAGUGGUGCUGAGGGAAACAGUAUGGAGGCUCCUCAAAAAAGUAAAUGUAAACCGGGCGUGGUGGCUUACUAGAGGCCAAAGCAAGAGAAGCUCAGCUUCGACCCCAACCUGGGCAAUUUAGUGAGACUUUAUCUUAAAAUAAAAAGGGAAGCCAGCUUUCGUGGCGCAUACCCUGUAAUCCAAGCACUCUUGAGAAGCUGAGGCAGGAGGAUCGCAAGUUCUUGCACAGCCUCAGCGAAUUAUUGGGACCCUGUCUCAAAAUAGGGCUGAGGAUAUGGCUCAGUGCGAGAAGACACAUCUGAGUAUACACCCAAAAGAAGGAGUUUAUUACCGGCCAGGACCUGAGCUGAGCAUCUGACUCGAGCCCCGACAGGGGGGAGACAAACAUGUUUUAUACACCUUUGAGGCCAACAGUUUCUACGCCUCCCUAUGGGAUAGAACUACCAAAGCAAGCAAAAGACCCUGCCUCCCCAUUGAUCUCUAUCAUCAUGUGAAUCAAAAAGGUCAGCAUCACUUGUUCCACUGGACAUGGAAGAAUUCAGUGAUUCUGUGAUGUCUGGGCACUUUAGGCUAUUUUCUGAGCUGCUGUGGGUCAAGACUGAGGCAGAUCCAGAAGAAUCUAUAAAGCGCUUUGUG